AUGGAGGUAAAGAAAGUUUACUUGAAGACCGAGCAUGGUUAUAUUUUCCAUGCAAAAUUAUACAAUUCAGACGACUACACCUAUUUUGGAUGCAAAACUUGGCGAGCACUAUGCAAGACUUAUGCAUUUGAGCCUGAUAUGGUUAUCACCUUUGAUAGUCGUCCGGAAGAUGAUAUUGAAGGUAAUACCGACAUCUGGAUCGAUGUGCAGACACCUCUAGUUAUAUCAUUAUCUUAUUUCGGUGCAAGCAAACAUGUCCAGGGCUUGGUAGACAUGACCUACUACUGUCCCGAGGCUGAACUCAACUGCGAGGAGCUAAGUCAUUAUGUUUCAUGGCUUGAGGAUCUUGAUACUGUCAAGACAAAUUUUCUUCCUGCAUUUAGAAAUGUUAGUACUGAAAACGUGCGACCAAUAGUGUUCGUAAUGAACUACGGUCACAUCUAUUUAGGAAGGAUGGUAAGAUUUUUACUAUUUGUCCUUAGUGCAUCUUUUCCAUACAUUAUUUUUGAAGCUAAACUUCAUUGCUAA
rnacentral:rRNA from 1 species